rnacentral:rRNA from 1 species
UCCAGACUCCUACGGGAGGCAGCAGUGGGGAAUAUUGCACAAUGGGGGAAACCCUGAUGCAGCAACGCCGCGUGAGUGAAGAAGUCUUUCGGUAUGUAAAGCUCUCUCAGCAGGGAAGAAAAUGACGGUACCUGAGUAAGAAGCCCCGGCUAACUACGUGCCAGCAGCCGCGGUAAUACGUAGGGGGCAAGCGUUAUCCGGAUUUACUGGGUGUAAAGGGGGCGCAGACGGCGAUGCAAGCCAGGAGUGAAAGCCCGGGGCCCAACCCCGGGGCUGCUCUUGGAACUGCGUGGCUGGAGUGCAGGAGGGGCAGGCGGAAUUCCUGGUGUAGCGGUGAAAUGCGUAGAUAUCAGGAGGAACACCGGUGGCGAAGGCGGCCUGCUGGACUGCAACUGACGUUGAGGCCCGAAAGCGUGGGGAGCGAACAGGAUUAGAUACCCUCGUA